rnacentral:rRNA from 1 species
AACGUAGGAGACAAACGUUAUCCGGAGUUACUGGGCGUAAAGGGCGUGUAGGCGGUUCGUUAAGUCUGGCGUGAAAGCUCUCGGCUAAACCGGGAGAGGUCGUUGGAUACUGGCAAACUAGAGGACGGUAGAGGCGUGUGGAAUUCCGGGGUGUAGUGGUGAAAUGCGUAGAGAUCCGGAGGAACACCAGCGGCGAAGGCGGCAUCCUGGACUGGUCCUGACACUCAGGAGCGAAAGCGUGGGGAGCGAUCCGG